GGUGAACGCUGGCGGCGUGCCUAAUACAUGCAAGUCGAGCGAACGGACGAGAAGCUUGCUUCUCUGAUGUUAGCGGCGGACGGGUGAGUAACACGUGGAUAACCUACCUAUAAGACUGGGAUAACUUCGGGAAACCGGAGCUAAUACCGGAUAAUAUUUUGAACCGCAUGGUUCAAAAGUGAAAGACGGUCUUGCUGUCACUUAUAGAUGGAUCCGCGCUGCAUUAGCUAGUUGGUAAGGUAACGGCUCACCAAGGCAACGAUGCAUAGCCGACCUGAGAGGGUGAUCGGCCACACUGGAACUGAGACACGGUCCAGACUCCUACGGGAGGCAGCAGUAGGGAAUAUUCCGCAAUGGGCGAAAGCCUGACGGAGCAACGCCGCGUGAGUGAUGAAGGUCUUCGGAUCGUAAAACUCUGUUAUUAGGGAAGAACAUAUGUGUAAGUAACUGUGCACGUCUUGACGGUACCUAAUCAGAAAGCCACGGCUAACUACGUG
rnacentral:rRNA from 1 species